UACGAAGGGGGCUAGCGUUGUUCGGAAUUACUGGGCGUAAAGCGCACGUAGGCGGAUCUUUAAGUCGGGGGGUGAAAUCCCGGGGCUCAACCCCGGAACUGCCUUCGAUACUGAGGAUCUUGAGACCGGGAGAGGUGAGUGGAAUUCCCAGUGUAGCGGUGAAAUGCGUAGAUAUUGGGAGGAACACCAGUGGCGAAGGCGGCUCACUGGACCGGAACUGACGCUGAGGCGCGAAAGCGUGGGGGAGCAAACAGG
rnacentral:rRNA from 1 species